ensembl:ncRNA lncRNA:CR46239 long non-coding RNA:CR46239
AGCGAUUGUUCAGUCAGUCUCGGCUGGCGCCUCCUGCUCGAACAUAAAUUUAAUUGAAAGACUGGGAUCGAGGCUGGAACUUCGACUGGAACUGGGUUUGGGCCCGAAUGCCGAAGACUGGGCCAAAACCAAAGAGCCAAAGAUGCCAGCCGGAGGUGGAGGCGUCAAUUGGCAAAUUGGUUUCCAUGUCAGCCAGCAGGAAAAGUUAAUUUUCUCGCCGCCAUAAAUAACACCCUGAUCGACUGGAACUACGGCACGAUCGACGGCAUCAGAGGAUCUCCAUCUGCCGAUCGAGAAUUGGAAUAGCAAUGCGAAUCUCCUCUGGCAGGUGAGCAUGGGUGCUGUCCGUUUCGAUUCCAAAUGCAAUUGCCUCGCAGGCCAGAAGCCACGUUUUUUAAUGCUUUUUUAAUUGGAAAUGCACAGCAGCACGCUGAUGACGCCCCAAACAGCAAGUUUGCCAUUACGUAAUUGCAAUUUAAUGAUCGAGCCUGCGAAAAGU